GCGGCGGGCGCAGCCCCCGCUGGGACGGGCGGGUCCGCCGGCCGCCGCCACCGCUAACGAAGGGGUCCAGAGGCCAGCGUGGUCCCAAAGUGGAGACCGGACGUGGAACGCGUGGCCGAGGCGGGACACGCGGAGGGUAGCGCGAGGAAAGAGAGCGCCGCGCAUCGGCCGCAGGCCGGGCCGGGCCCCCACGGACCGAGCGAUGUCCGCCCGGGCCAGGCCGGCCACCUCUCACCGGAACCGCGUCCACGGGCCACGCUUUCUGCAGGUUCAAGACCAAGGGCGGCUCAGCCUCCCUCCGACACUUCUCGAGGGCAGCGCUCAGAGCACCCCGUGCCCAGGAAAGAAUGCUUUCUGCCAUGUAUUUUAAAACUGGUGUUUAUCCUGGAGAUAGAAUGUGUCCUGCCAUAGUGCUCGUCCUUUGAGUAAGAUCAAGAAUGUUUAGCAUGGAGACCUGCAGAACAGCAAGACAUUCUUGUGAGAAAUGCCACAUCAUCCAUACUCUAUAUUGUUUUUGUGUGUGUCUUCUUGUGCACUGUGGAUUGAACACAGGGCCCAAGGAAAGCUAAGCAAUCACUGAGCUAUAUCUGUAAGCCAGUCAUCCUCACCUGAUGGUCUGAGUUGAAAAAGGAUUCUGAGCAACUGUGAAUGCCAUCCAGUUUUAAUAAAGAAGUCACUAGCAUAUCCAUUGGAACGUUUGCCGUGAUGUUCACAAAGACAAGCCUAAGACCCAAACCUGAGACGCACAAGGGAAGAAAACAAGCCUUAUCUUCUGUGUCAUAAAUAAAGGCUAUGAAACUGUGA